rnacentral:rRNA from 1 species
GAUGAACGCUGGCGGCGUGCCUAAUACAUGCAAGUCGAGCGAACAGACGAGGAGCUUGCCCCUCUGACGUUAGCGGCGGACGGGUGAGUAACACGUGGAUAACCUACCUAUAAGACUGGGAUAACUUCGGGAAACCGGAGCUAAUACCGGAUAAUAUAUUGAACCGCAUGGUUCAAUAGUGAAAGACGGUUUUGCUGUCACUUAUAGAUGGAUCCGCGCCGCAUUAGCUAGUUGGUAAGGUAACGGCUUACCAAGGCAACGAUGCGUAGCCGACCUGAGAGGGUGAUCGGCCACACUGGAACUGAGACACGGUCCAGACUCCUACGGGAGGCAGCAGUAGGGAAUCUUCCGCAAUGGGCGAAAGCCUGACGGAGCAACGCCGCGUGAGUGAUGAAGGUCUUCGGAUCGUAAAACUCUGUUAUUAGGGAAGAACAAAUGUGUAAGUAACUAUGCACGUCUUGACGGUACCUAAUCAGAAAGCCACGGCUAACUACGU